rnacentral:rRNA from 1 species
AUUGAACGCUGGCGGCAUGCCUAACACAUGCAAGUCGAACGGUAGCGCAAGAAGCUUGCUUCUUGGCGACGAGUGGCGGACGGGUGAGUAAUGCUUGGGAAUCUGCCCAGUAGUGGGGGACAACUCGAGGAAACUCGAGCUAAUACCGCAUACGCCCUACGGGGGAAAGCGGGGGACUCUUCGGAACCUCGCGCUAUUGGAUGAGCCCAAGUCGGAUUAGCUUGUUGGUGGGGUAACGGCCUACCAAGGCAACGAUCCGUAGCUGGUCUGAGAGGACGAUCAGCCACACUGGGACUGAGACACGGCCCAGACUCCUACGGGAGGCAGCAGUGGGGAAUAUUGGACAAUGGGCGCAAGCCUGAUCCAGCAAUGCCGCGUGUGUGAAGAAGGCCUGCGGGUUGUAAAGCACUUUCAGUAGAGAAGAAAAGCCUAGGGUUAAUAACCCUGAGUCUUGACGUAACCUACAGAAGAAGCACCGGCUAACUCCGUG